AUCCGUUUUUUGUAUAGCCCUAAGUUCAAUGUUAAAUUAAAUGUAAUAAAUAAAUAUGUUAGUGAAGUUAUUCCUAUAAAUAAAUGUAGUGUUGUGCCUAAAAUGUCGCGUGUGUGUUGAUUUGUUCGUGAGAAAAGUGUCCUUGAUUGGCAGACAAUUGGCAAUUGGAAGGCAAUUGAAUUGCGCCACCAAAAAUAAUCCCUUCAAGUGUUGGAGAGCCAGGAAAUUUAUCGAAGGUAUAGAAGGGCAAGUCGGUUCCUCAACAUUUUGGUCCUUCGAACCGGAUGAUUGGACCCUGGUGAGGAUUUGAAAAGGACUAAACUGGAUAACGAAGCCUGCGGCAGGCUCGGAUUGGCGCCAUCACAAGUAGACUGCAUUGUUAAUCGCUAUACCUCUACAUAAGAAGUGAAGUCGCCAUCGCACCUGGAAUUUUGGCACAAUUGAUUCCACGCCAUCAUAGAACAACACUACAAAGGACAUCCAAGGAUAAAGCACCGAUCCUCCAUCGCAUCUAGGCAGAAAAAAACUUCGUUUUUGGACAUGAAUCGAUUGUCUUGUUUCCACAGUUAUCUUUAACGGACGGACUCGGGCAAAAACAAUCUUCGGAUCACGGUAUUUAAGCCUUUGGACCAUAGGACGGACAACUGAUCCAGCACAGGAUUUACUUUUCCAGGUAAAUAUAUUUUAGAUCAGUGUAUGUCCAGCCUUUUUGCUAGUGUCUCCGCAAUACUAACGCCCAAAUUUCGACGUAUUUCCUCUACAAUAUCUAUUAUGCACUGAGCUGGAAGGAAGGAACUCACAUACGAACAUCAGUUUGUCAAUCCAACGGGAUAUUUGGAACCUGAAAGCGGACAAGGACAUCACCCGUGAGGCCAAACUUCAUUCUGGUCGUCUGAGCCGAGAAUAGCUAUUUUCGUGAGAUGGAUUGACGCAUGGCAGGAAGAGGCGGCAUCAAGUCUUGUUUUGUUGGUGAGCUACAACAGUAUAUGUCCGCCGAAGCUAGUCUCUGUAUACUACAGUUGGUUUCCUCCUCAUCUUUCCUUAUUGGUUGAACGAGUACGUACUGUGCUACAACAAUUGGUGGUGCGUCACAACGGAA